AUAGUACUACCUCCGUUCCAUAAUUCUUGUCUCAAAAGUUGCCCAAAAAUGGAUGUAUCUAUUUCUAAAAAGCGUCUAUAUACAUGUAAUAUUUCGACAAGAAUUAUGGAACGGAGGGAGUAUUAU
rfam:Brachypodium distachyon strain Bd21 chromosome 4, whole genome shotgun sequence.